rnacentral:lncRNA from 1 species
CGAGGACGGAGCCUGGGGUGGCAUUCGGGACGGUGGAGGGAGCAGCCAGGCCCAGGGCGCCCCGUCCUGUGUGCCUGGACCGUGUGACAAGGCUGUGAGCCUUACUGCUCCCAGGACCCUGAUGGGAGGACGGUCUAAAGUAGGACUUGGGUGGCCCGCGCGGCCCGUCCUUCCUGUCACACAGGCUCCGCGGCGGCCGGCCAGGAGAUAUUUAUACUCCGCUCUCGGGGGACCAGGUGCUCUUGUUCUGCUCUUUCUCCCCACAUUCUGAGGUUGACUGGGUGACUGGCCGAUUCUUCCUGGUAGAGACGAACAGGGUUUCCGUCGGUCAGCGAAGCAGCCCUCAGGUUGGGGUCCCUUGCCCUGGAGAGCAGCCUUGGAUUUCUCUCCCCAGAGCUCUUGUCACCGUGUUCUUCUGAGCCUGGGAACGCUCAGGUCCUCAAGUGCUUCUGGAACCGUCCACCACCAGUGGCCCCUUGCUGAUGAGUAUCUGUGUCCACUCUCUUUGUACAGGGACAGUUUUUUGAAAACUGAUCUUGACCCUUUUUCCUAAUAAGAGCCGCCUGCUGGAGACUCAGGGCAGACAGGGCCUCACGGUGCAAGUGGCACUUCAGCCACCAAGGGUGACCCUGGGGCUCAGCUUGGAGUUGGUGCAGUGCACCCAGGGGUCAGAUCCCAUGGUUCCCAAACAGACCAUUCUGAACCGAGUGGCAGAAAGUGACCACUUGAGAUGGAUUGAGAAGAAAAAGUGGCCCAGGUGCUGUUGGCCAGGACUUCCGCGGGGCCUGCGAGGGCCUCAGCUGGGCGACCCAAAGCUGGGCGACUUGACCAUGGGGCAACCACAUGUACUGCACUCUCGGGCUGGGCCUGCUGGCAGGACGGCCACCAGGCUGGGUCCAGCAGGACGGUGGGCCAUGGGCCUCCCUGUGGCUCCCCUGUGGCGCCUCAGUGCUCUAGAGCCUGGUAGGGCUGCACGGCCCUUUGCCAGCCAGCUGAGAAGUCGCAUGUGCCAAGCACGCUCAUGCCCACACCCGGAGCAAGGGGCCCAGGCCUUGAGGAGCCGCGUGGGACCUGAGGUCACCCGAGAGCCGCUCCUGCUCCACAAUUCCCAGCCCCAUGGUCACUGCUGAUGGCUCACAAGGACCUGUGUCUCGUAGCAAGCCCCAAGGCUUUCCUUAAAAAAUAUUAACAGUGUCCACUGGACACGUUGGUGUGAGCCUCCAUACACAUCACGGCAAGCACCGAGCAGGCCCAGCCCCGCCGACCUCCAGCCUCACACAAGGACGCGAGGCCUCAGCCCUUUGGAGCCCCAGGCGCUGCCAAAAGGCAAGAGAGGCAGACCCCAAGUCACGCAGCUCCCGUUCCCGGGCGCUCCGGGGCUCGCGGCCUGACAUCUUCUUUUGGUUCUUCCCGUCUCAGGAUUCCACGCGACCAUGACGGAGAAGAAGCCAAGGAGGCCAAGGAGAACGGGGGCCUGAGGCCGCGCCUGGUGGUCUCCUCCCCACCGAAGGGCGAGACGCGGGCCCUCUUCUGGGUUUGCGUUGACACCUCUCUCCUUUCAAUCCAAAGCUCAAGUGCUGCCUGGAAAUGGAGUCUGCAGCCCCCCUGGGUGGACCUCCAUUCUUCUGGCUCUUUGGGGGUAAGUUUUUCAGAGUCUCUGGAACUGUUUCCUCGUCUGUAAAAUGGGACUGAUACUAGUUUUUUUGGGGGGGAUGGUGGUACCAGGGAUUGAACUCAGGGGCCCUUGAACACCGAGCCUCACCCCAGCCCUACUUUGUAUUUUAUUCAGAGACAGGGCCUCACUGAGUUCCUUAGCACCUCAAAGUUACCGAGGCUGGCUUUGAACUCCCCAUCCUCCAGUCUCAGCCUCCCGAGCCCCCGGGAUCACAGGCCUGAGCUGCUGUGCGCUGGCAGGUCUGAUAAUAGUUUAUUAUCUCUACCUCCAGGAGCUGAUAGGGGUCUGAUAGGAUUCUGUACGCUGACACCGCAGGGCGUGGCGUGAGCUGGGAGGGCUGGAUUAGUCUCACUGGGCUUGCUAAGAACUUCAC